ACUAUACAUCAGACAGUUACUAUACAUCAGACAGUUACUAUACAUCAGACAGUUACUAUACAUCAGACAGUACAGUUACUAUACAUCAGACAGUUGCUAUACAUCAGACAGUACAGUUACUAUACAUCAGACAGUUACUAUACAUCAGACAGUUACUAUACAUCAGACAGUUACUAUACAUCAGACAGUAUAGUUACUAUACAUCAGACAGUACAGUUACUAUACAUCAGACAGUUACUAUACAUCAGACAGUUACUAUACAUCAGACAGUACAGUUACUAUACAUCAGACAGUACAGUUACUAUACAUCAGACAGUUACUAUACAUCAGACAGUACAGUUACUAUACAUCAGACAAUGUGCGCUGUGUUAAAGAAGCAGCGGCUUGGUUGGUUGUGUAUCGGAGGACGCAUGACUUUCAACCUUUGUCUCUCCCGAGCCCGUACGGGAGUUGUAGCGAUGAGACAAGAUAGUAGCUACUACAACAAUUGGAUACUACGAAAUUAGGGAGAAAAAGGGGUAAAAUUCAAAAAAAAAAAAAAAAUGUAAAAAAGAAAUGAUUGAGGCUGAAAACAUCUCUCCAUAACUUUUCAUAAAUGCAUGUUUUAUACAGAACAUUUCACCUACUUUGCAGUACAAUUUGAUACAGGAUACAGGACGCGUACUCAGAGCGCUGACUAGUUGGCAAGUAUCUUUUUCAAUCUCUCCCUGACCCAGUCUGUAAUACCUACAUGUUUCAAGGAGACCACCAUACAUAGUCCCUUUACCCAAUAGUCCCUGUACCCAAGGUAACCUGUCUAAAUGACUAUCGCCCCGUAGAAAUCACAUCUAUAGCCAUGAAAUGCUUUGAAAGGCUGGUCAUGGCUCAGAUCAACACCCAUCCCAGACACCCUGGACCCACUCCAAUACUGCCCCAACAGAUUCAUAGAUGACGCAAU
rnacentral:lncRNA from 13 species